CACGUAGGAGGCGAGCGUUGUCCGGAAUCAUUGGGCGUAAAGAGCGCGCAGGCGGCUUGGCAAGUCGGGUGUGAAAUCCCGGGGCUCAACCCCGGGACUGCAUUCGAUACUGUCAGGCUAGAGGUAGGUAGGGGAGAUCGGAAUUCCUGGUGUAGCGGUGAAAUGCGCAGAUAUCAGGAAGAACACCCGUGGCGAAGGCGGCUCUCUGGGACGGUACUGACGCUGAGACGCGAAAGCGUGGGGAGCGAACAGG
rnacentral:rRNA from 1 species